UUUAGCAGCAAUGGAGUGGGAUUGAAAGGAGUGCAUGUGGUUUGGUGUUCGGUCUUUUCAGAGAUUCAUGGUCUGGUGGGCAGUUUGGGAUUCGAGCCUCCCAAACAUUGAGUUAGCUCUGACAAUGUGUACAUCAAUCUCAUCAUCUAUGUGUACAUCCUGGAAAGUAUACUGACAAGGAUCAACUGCUGGGCAUAUUCUCAGAGCCUCAGUGAUACCUGCAGGCACAAAGUUCCCACACUGUGCCUCUACCUCAACACCACAAGGUCUCUCCAUGUGAUCAUUGUCAAAG